CGGUUUGUCGCGUCUGUCGUGAAAGUCCGGGGCUUAACCCCGGAUCUGCGGUGGGUACGGGCAGACUAGAGUGCAGUAGGGGAGACUGGAAUUCCUGGUGUAGCGGUGGAAUGCGCAGAUAUCAGGAGGAACACCGAUGGCGAAGGCAGGUCUCUGGGCUGUAACUGACGCUGAGGAGCGAAAGCAUGGGGAGCGAACAGGAUUAGAUACCCUGGUAGUCCAUGCCGUAAACGUUGGGCACUAGGUGUGGGGACCAUUCCACGGUUUCCGCGCCGCAGCUAACGCAUUAAGUGCCCCGCCUGGGGAGUACGGCCGCAAGGCUAAAACUCAAAGGAAUUGACGGGGGCCCGCACAAGCGGCGGAGCAUGCGGAUUAAUUCGAUGCAACGCGAAGAACCUUACCAAGGCUUGACAUGUUCUCGAUCGCCGUAGAGAUACGGUUUCCCCUUUGGGGUGGGUUCACAGGUGGUGCAUGGUUGUCGUCAGCUCGUGUCGUGAGAUGUUGGGUUAAGUCCCGCAACGAGCGCAACCCUCGUUCCAUGUUGCCAGCACGUCGUGGUGGGGACUCAUGGGAGACUGCCGGGGUCAACUCGGAGGAAGGUGAGGACGACGUCAAAUCAUCAUGCCCCUUAUGUCUUGGGCUUCACGCAUGCUACAAUGGCCGGUACAAUGGGUUGCGAUACUGUGAGGUGGAGCUAAUCCCAAAAAGCCGGUCUCAGUUCGGAUUGGGGUCUGCAACUCGACCCCAUGAAGUCGGAGUCGCUAGUAAUCGCAGAUCAGCAACGCUGCGGUGAAUACGUUCCCGGGCCUUGUACACACCGCCCGUCAAGUCACGAAAGUUGGUAACACCCGAAGCCG
rnacentral:rRNA from 1 species